rnacentral:rRNA from 1 species
AACGAACGCUGGCGGCAUGCCUAACACAUGCAAGUCGAACGAGACCUUCGGGUCUAGUGGCGCACGGGUGCGUAACGCGUGGGAACCUGCCCUUAGGUUCGGAAUAACUCCCCGAAAGGGGUGCUAAUACCGGAUAAUGUCUUCGGACCAAAGAUUUAUCGCCUUUGGAUGGGCCCGCGUUGGAUUAGCUAGUUGGUAGGGUAAAAGCCUACCAAGGCGACGAUCCAUAGCUGGUCUGAGAGGAUGAUCAGCCACACUGGGACUGAGACACGGCCCAGACUCCUACGGGAGGCAGCAGUGGGGAAUAUUGGACAAUGGGCGAAAGCCUGAUCCAGCAAUGCCGCGUGAGUGAUGAAGGCCUUAGGGUUGUAAAGCUCUUUUACCCGGGAUGAUAAUGACAGUACCGGGAGAGUAAGCUCCGGCUAACUCUGUG